UGAAGAACGUAGCGAAAUGCGAUAAGUAAUGUGAAUUGCAGAAUUCAGUGAAUCAUCGAAUCUUUGAACGCACAUUGCGCCCGCCAGUAUUCUGGCGGGCAUGCCUGUUCGAGCGUCAUUUCAACCAUCAAGCCCCAGGCUUGUGUUGGGGACCUGCGGCUGCCGCAGGCCCUGAAAACCAGUGGCGGGCUCGCUGUCACACCGGGCGUAGUAGAUUUUAUCUCGCUCUGGGCGUGCUGCGGGUUCCGGCCGUUAAAAAACCCUUUUAACCCAAGGUUGACCUCGGAUCAGGUAGGAAUACCCGCUGAACUUAAGCAUAUCAAUAAGCGGAGGA
rnacentral:misc_RNA from 1 species